GGAAGUAAACGUCGUAACAAGGUUUCCGUAGGUGAACCUGCGGAAGGUUCAUUAUCGAAGCCCCUAUGGGGUGCCUCACCGCGGUUCCUGGCUGUGCGCCUAUGGGCCGCACGCGUGGUCCCGUCACGUGAUUCUCACACCUGUGCACUCUGCGGGUGUCCCCUCUCCGGGGGACGUCCGUCUACACACACUACAUAUGUCUAUGGAUGUCUUACUUUUGUAACUAAUACAACUUUCAACAACGGAUCUCUUGGCUCUCGCAUCGAUGAGGAACGCUGG
rnacentral:misc_RNA from 1 species